AUUGAACGCUGGCGGCAGGCCUAACACAUGCAAGUCGAGCGGAUGAAGGGAGCUUGCUCCUGGAUUCAGCGGCGGACGGGUGAGUAAUGCCUAGGAAUCUGCCUGGUAGUGGGGGAUAACGUCCGGAAACGGGCGCUAAUACCGCAUACGUCCUGAGGGAGAAAGUGGGGGAUCUUCGGACCUCACGCUAUCAGAUGAGCCUAGGUCGGAUUAGCUAGUUGGUGGGGUAAAGACCUACCAAGGCGACGAUCCGUAACUGGUCUGAGAGGAUGAUCGGUCACACUGGAACUGAGACACGGUCCAGACUCCUACGGGAGGCAGCAGUGGGGAAUAUUGGACAAUGGGCGAAAGCCUGAUCCAGCCAUGCCGCGUGUGUGAAGAAGGUCUUCGGAUUGUAAAGCACUUUAAGUUGGGAGGAAGGGCAGUAAGUUAAUACCUUGCUGUUUUGACGUUACCAACAGAAUAAGCACCGGCUAACUUCGUG
rnacentral:rRNA from 1 species